UUGCCUGUACAAUCAUUAUACCUUGGA
rnacentral:piRNA from 1 species